CUCACAAGGGACUGGCGAGUGUGAGUAAAGUGCAGGGCCUUCCCUAGUUGCCUGAGGCCUGGCCCUGGAGCAGCUAGCCUGGGGGGUAGAGACCCGCAGCUGAGAGCUUCCUAGCUGCCUGAGGCCUGGCCCUGGAGCAGCUAACCUGGGGGUAGAGACCCACAGCUGAGAGCUCCCUAGCUGCCUGAAGCCUGGCUCUGGAGCAGCUAACCUGGGGGUAGAGACCUGCAGCUGAGAGCCACGCAGUUCAAGGACAAGAAACUGGGAGUUGGAGGUGUGUUUCCUGAUUGAUGCUGGCAGUGUCUGGCCCGCUGAUCUCACUUACCCCUCCUGCCUCUACAUCUACACUCAGUACAGCUGCCAGGUGGUCGAUGGUAGAGAAAGCUCUCAGGUAAGGUCUAUUUCUCAGGCAACUUCACAACCAGCCUCCUUGGUGUGCCACUUUUGGGAUUUGCCUGCUUCCUAACAUCUUAUCCACCUUUUUAAACACACUGAAUUUCAUUUUCUUUUAUAUACAUAUAUAUUUUAUUUUUUAAGGUUUAUUUAUUUAUUUAUUUAUUUGAGGGGGUGGGUACGAGGAGGGGGACAGGGGGAGGAGCAGAAGGGGAGGGAGAGAGAAUCUCAAGCAGGCUCCUCGCUGAUCUCAGGAUCCUGAGAUCAUGACUUGAACUGAAAUCCAGAGACACUCAACCGACUGCACCACCUGAGUGCCCCACUGUGAUCUCCAAAGUGCAUUAGACUUCGUGUAGUGGGGAGAGAGGGCAAGUUUUAAGCCUGUACAUUUGUUGCUAAACUAGUACUCAAGGUAAAAAAAAAAAAAAAAAAAAAAAAAUUCCCAGGGAUUGCAUCCAUCUGCUGAUAGGAGUUAAACAUUUCUCAAAGUCGCACUGUAUCCUUCAGGUCACCCAGAACCUUCUGAUGCCAUUUCAGGAGGGGAACUGGCUAGACCGGCUUGGGGGUGGGGAGGGCAGCCUCUCUGCUCCUGAUUGAGUUUGAAACUGGAGGCGGAUCCUUGGGCUGCAUCUGGUUUCUGACCUCUGCACUAUUGCGUUCCUGGGUUGUGGGUGCUGGUCUGUGCGCAGGGAGCCACGGCAACGCCUCCAGCCCCAGCACCAGCUGGAAGCAC
rnacentral:lncRNA from 1 species